GGGCGCGUAGCUCAGGUGGUUAGAGCGCGAAACUGAUAAUUUCGAGGUCGAUGGUUCGAGUCCAUCCGUGCCCACCA
rnacentral:tRNA from 1 species